rnacentral:rRNA from 1 species
AUUGAACGCUGGCGGCAGGCCUAACCCAUGCAAGUCGAACGAGUGGCGGACGGGUGAGUACUGUCUGGGACACUGACCGAUGGAGGGGGAUAACUACUGGAAACGGUAGCUAAUACCGCAUACCAUCGGAUGUGCCCAGAUGGGAUUAGAUAGUAGGUGGGGUAACGGCUCACCUAGGCGACGAUCCCUAGCUGGUCUGAGAGGAUGAACAGCCACACUGUAACUGAGACACGGUCCAGCGUCCUACGGGAGGCAGCAGGGGUGAAUAUUGCACAAUUGGCGCAAGCCUGAUGCAGCCAUGCCGCGUGUAUGAAGAAGGCCUUCGGGUUGUAAAGUACUUUCAGCGAGGAGGCGUUACUCUCAGAAGAAGCACCGGCUAACUCCGUGCCAGCAGCCGCGGUAAUUG